rnacentral:precursor_RNA from 15 species
CAUCGCCCGGUUGCCAGUCCGGCUCUGGGAAGGUGCCAUUCCGAGGGCCAGGAGUUGGAUUAUGUGUCACUCUGGCUGCUCUGGCCCCCUCCCAGGGUCUGGGCAUCACUCCCAGGCCAGC